rnacentral:tRNA from 1 species
GCUCUCGUAGUUAAAUGGAUAUAACUUUCCCCUCCUAAGGGAAGAUUGUGGGUUCGAUUCCCGCCGGGAGUACCA